AUGGCGAUGGUACGGCACGUGGCCAGCAUGCUCCGGAACCGGGAGGCGUACGACAUGGCUAAGGCGGCCAACCGGCUGCAUGGCUACGCCCUGCCAGGGGAGGCGGGGGAGGGCGGGGAGGCGGGGAAAGGGAGCUCGGGUUUGUGGGGGAGGAGCGGGGGGGUAGUGCUGGGGCCGCUGGGGAUGGGUAAUUUUACGGAGCACGCGGCGUCGGGUACAGCGGUGUUUGUGCUGUCCCCUGAGUGAAGGAACGGUGGAAAAAGAAAUGAGGGAGCGGGGGUUCUAUGGGGUUGGGAGGAGAGGAGGGAUGAAGGCGGUGGUUGUGGUUUGCGUAGGGAGCGCGAGGGACAUGGAAAAAGAGCUGGGAAUUUCGCACCGAGUGGAAUUUCGGGAUGGGAAGUUCGCACCGAGUGCCGAGAUAAGGUAAGGGCGGAUAAUGGUGGAAGUGAUGCUGUUUGGGGUUCAAGGGUGGGUAGCUGGCAACAGUGACCCCCUCGACCCGCCCAGAAGAGUUGUAUGUGCGGCGGGCGCGGUGAUCAGUGAAAUCAUAUGACGAAAAAACAUGACGAGAUGACGAAGUGCACCGGAUGCGAGGAAGCGCGAUUGGCCGAUGUGUGUCUUGGAACGCUUGGAGGUCAUGAAAGGGCUUUAAAUCAAGGGUGAGGUACAGAUUAUGGCUGCGGACUGCGUUUGACGCGCUGAUGGCGGUUGCACUGAUGAAGGCUUCGGAAAAAGAAAAGCGAUUUCCUUAUGUUAACUUGUAUGACAGUAUGGAAACUUGUGUGGGCAGGUAUACUAUGUUCUGCCUGAUGUGCCCUGUGCACAUCAGGCAGAACAUCUGCGCUUCCUGGAUGCUAACUUUUCCAAGAGCUCCAAAACAUAACCCACCGGCCUGAGAUAAUGUACCCCUGGCUGUCAUGGCUUGUGUAAUGACUGUUAUUUUUCGGGAUUUUGUCUCGCCUGGGGUCCAGCACUCCAGCACCCGAGUGCCGAUCUGCCGUUCGACCAGUAGUACUAACGGAAGUAACUGCC
rnacentral:lncRNA from 1 species